UACGGAGGGAGCUAGCGUUGUUCGGAAUUACUGGGCGUAAAGCGCACGUAGGCGGCUUUGUAAGUUAGAGGUGAAAGCCCGGAGCUCAACUCCGGAAUUGCCUUUAAGACUGCAUCGCUUGAAUCCAGGAGAGGUGAGUGGAAUUCCCAGUGUAGAGGUGAAAUUCGUAGAUAUUGGGAAGAACACCGGUGGCGAAGGCGGCUCACUGGUCCGUUACUGACGCUCAGGCGCGACAGCGUGGGGAUCAAACAGG
rnacentral:rRNA from 1 species